CCUGGGAGUACGGUCGCAAGAUUAAAACUCAAAGGAAUUGACGGGGACCCGCCCAAGCGGUGGAUGAUGUGGAUUAAUUCGAUGCAACGCGAAAAACCUUACCUACCCUUGACAUGUACGGAAGCCACGAGAGAUCGAGGUGUGCUCGAAAGAGAGCCGUAACACAGGUGCUGCAUGGCUGUCGUCAGCUCGUGUCGUGAGAUGUUGGGUUAAGUCCCGCAACGAGCGCAACCCUUGUCAUUAGUUGCUACGAAAGAGCACUCUAAUGAGACUGCCGGUGACAAACCGGAGGAAGGUGGGGAUGACGUCAAGUCCUCAUGGCCCUUAUGGGUAGGGCUUCACACGUCAUACAAUGGUACAUACAGAGGGCCGCCAACCCGCGAGGGGGAGCUAAUCCCAGAAAGUGUAUCGUAGUCCGGAUUGUAGUCUGCAACUCGACUACAUGAAGUUGGAAUCGCUAGUAAUCGCGGAUCAGCAUGUCGCG
rnacentral:rRNA from 1 species